rnacentral:rRNA from 1 species
AUCAUUAAUUAUGUUAAAGCGCCUUACCUUAGGGUUUCCUCUGGGGUAAGUGAUUGCUUCUACACUGUGAAAAUUUGGCUGAGAGACUCAGACUGGUCAUGGGUAGACCUAUCUGGGGUUUGAUCGAUGCCACUCCUGGUUUCAGGAGUACCCUUCAUAAUAAACCUAGAAAUUCAGUAUUAUAAAGUUUAAUAAAAAACAACUUUUAACAAUGGAUCUCUUGGUUCUCGCAUCGAUGAAGAACGUAGCAAAGUGCGAUAACUAGUGUGAAUUGCAUAUUCAGUGAAUCAUCGAGUCUUUGAACGCAGCUUGCACUCUAUGGUUUUUCUAUAGAGUACGCCUGCUUCAGUAUCAUCACAAACCCACACAUAACAUUUGUUUAUGUGGUGAUGGGUCGCAUCGCUGUUUUAUUACAGUGAGCACCUAAAAUGUGUGUGAUUUUCUGUCUGGCUUGCUAGGCAGGAAUAUUACGCUGGUCUCAGGAUCUUUUUUUUUGGUUCGCCCAGGAAGUAAAGUACAAGAGUAUAAUCCAGUAACUUUCAAACUAUGAUCUGAAGUCAGGUGGGAUUACCCGCUGAACUUAAGCAUAUCAAUAACCGGAGGAAAAGAAAAUAACAAUGAUUUCCCUAGUAACGGCGAGUGAAGAGGAAAGAGCUCAAAGUUGGAACCUGUUUGGCCUAGCUAAACCGGAUUGUAGACUGUAGAAGUGUUUUCCAGG